ensembl:misc_RNA Metazoa_SRP Metazoan signal recognition particle RNA
GCUGGGCAUGGUGGCGUGUGCCUGUAAUCCCAGCUACUCAGGAGGCUGAGGCAGGGGAAUUGCUUGAACCCAGGAGGCGGAGGUUGCAGUGAGCUAAGAUCGUGCAACUGCACUCCAGCCUGGGCGACAGAGCAAGACUCCGUCUCAA